rnacentral:misc_RNA from 1 species
AAGUCGUAACAAGGUUUCCGUAGGUGAACCUGCGGAAGGAUCAUUAACACGUAUCCAACGUUAAACCCCCCUGUGAACCUUCAUUGUGCUCCCACGCUUUGUUAGAAAGUGGCAAUCCCUGGUAAAUCAUCGCCGAACAGUUUUGAUUCAGGGACUUCUGCGAAGAGGGUGAAUGAGGCGAGGCAAUGGACCUGGCAUUCCUCUGCUUGUUGGUGUCUGAAAGUGUCACUAACUCUGUACGAAUGGCGCAGUCACGUUCGCUGGAGGCCGACACGGCCGGCGGAGCUCUGCUCCCUAAUAACCCCACAGUUUAAUGUGAAGCUCAAUGUAAUACAUUGGGUAAAAAAACCGAACAACUGUUAACAAUGGAUAUCUUGGUUCUC